rnacentral:lncRNA from 1 species
GCUGAUAAAAGUUUUCUAGGAGAGUCUGGGUGCCCUGCCCUCCUGCCUCUCUGGCACACAUACCAAGGACACAGACAAAGCCUGUUUUGAGGAUUCUGUGCCAAGGUCAGCUUCUAAAGUCGAGGUGUGCUCAUCUUCAGUCUUUGGUCAUUUAACGCACAUUCACUGAAGGACCUACUGUGCUGCGGCUCUGCUAGGUUUAACGAUGGAUGUCAGUCAGCUAAGUCAGAUGUGAGAGUUGUCUUUGGAGAGCUUAUGUACUUACAAGGGUGGAACAGCUUUCUGCUUUCCCUUCUCUCACAACGAUGGGCAUUAGCUCACUGCAAGGACUUUCUGAAACCAAAUGUCAUUGAUCAGAUGCUCCACGAGGAGCACGUAGCUUUUGCAGUGCCAUCCUUUACUGAGGACAA